rnacentral:rRNA from 1 species
GACGAACGCUGGCGGCGUGCUUAACACAUGCAAGUCGAACGGAAAGGCCCUGCUUUUGUGGGGUGCUCGAGUGGCGAACGGGUGAGUAACACGUGAGUAACCUGCCCUUGACUUUGGGAUAACUUCAGGAAACUGGGGCUAAUACCGGAUAGGAGCUCCUGCUGCAUGGUGGGGGUUGGAAAGUUUCGGCGGUUGGGGACGGACUCGCGGCUUAUCAGCUUGUUGGUGGGGUAGUGGAUUACCAAGGCUUUGACGGGUAGCCGGCAUGAGAGGGUGACCGGCCACAUUGGGACUGCGAUACGGCCCAGACUCCUACGGGAGGCAGCAGUGGGGAAUAUUGCACAAUGGGCGGAAGCCUGAUGCAGCAACGCCGCGUGCGUGAUGACGGCCUUCGGGUUGUAAACCGCUUUCGCCUGUGACGAAGCGUGAGUGACGGUAAUGGGUAAAGAAGCACCGGCUAACUACGUG